UACACACGGAUAACAUACCGAAAGGUAUGCUAAUACGGGAUAAUAUAUUUGAGAGGCAUCUCUUAAAUAUCAAAGGUGAGCCAGUACAGGAUGGACCCGCGUCUGAUUAGCUAGCUGGUAAGGUAACGGCUUACCAAGGCGACGAUCAGUAGCCGACCUGAGAGGGUGAUCGGCCACAUUGGAACUGAGACACGGUCCAAACUCCUACGGGAGGCAGCAGUGGGGAAUAUUGCACAAUGGGCGAAAGCCUGAUGCAGCAACGCCGCGUGAGUGAUGAAGGCCUUCGGGUCGUAAAACUCUGUCCUCAAGGAAGAUAAUGACGGUACUUGAGGAGGAAGCCCCGGCUAACUACGUGCCAGCAGCCGCGGUAAUACGUAGGGGGCUAGCGUUAUCCGGAUUUACUGGGCGUAAAGGGUGCGUAGGCGGUCUUUCAAGUCAGGAGUGAAAGGCUACGGCUCAACCGUAGUAAGCUCUUGAAACUGGGAGACUUGAGUGCAGGAGAGGAGAGUGGAAUUCCUAGUGUAGCGGUGAAAUGCGUAGAUAUUAGGAGGAACACCAGUUGCGAAGGCGGCUCUCUGGACUGUAACUGACGCUGAGGCACGAAAGCGUGGGGAGCAAACAGGAUUAGAUACCCUGGUAGUCCACGCUGUAAACGAUGAAUACUAGGUGUCGGGGGUUACCCCCUUCGGUGCCGCAGC
rnacentral:rRNA from 1 species